rnacentral:rRNA from 1 species
UAGUCCACGCCGUAAACGAUGAAUACUAGGUGCAGCGGGUAUCGACCCCUGCUGUGCCGUAGCUAACGCGUUAAGUAUUCCGCCUGGGGAGUACGGCCGCAAGGCUAAAACUCAAAGAAAUUGACGGGGGCCCGCACAAGCGGUGGAGCAUGUGGUUUAAUUCGAUGCAACGCGCAGAACCUCACCUGGGCUUGAAAUCCUCGGACAACCUUAGAGAUAAGGCUUUCUUCUUCGGAAGACCGAGUGACAGGUGCUGCAUGGCUGUCGUCAGCUCGUGUCGUGAGAUGUCAGGUUAAGUCCUAUAACGAGCGCAACCCUUGUCGCUAGUUGCCAUCAUUAAGUUGGGCACUCUAGUGAGACUGCCGGUGUCAAACCGGAGGAAGGUGGGGAUGACGUCAAGUCCUCAUGGCCCUUAUGUCCAGGGCUACACACGUGCUACAAUGGCCGGUACAAAGAGCAGCCAACUCGCGAGAGUGCGCAAAUCUCAAAAAGCCGGU